rnacentral:rRNA from 1 species
ACGUAGGGUGCAAGCGUUAAUCGGAAUUACUGGGCGUAAAGCGUGCGCAGGCGGUUAUAUAAGACAGAUGUGAAAUCCCCGGGCUCAACCUGGGAACUGCAUUUGUGACUGUAUAGCUAGAGUACGGCAGAGGGGGAUGGAAUUCCGCGUGUAGCAGUGACAUGGGUCUGUACUGGGGGGCAGGCCGAAGGUGGAGGGGAGCAACUGGGAUUAGACUCACUAUUAUUCCGGAAACCGUCUGCCGCAUACAG